CGAUAACGAACGAGACCUUACUCUGCUAAAUAGCCAGGCUAACUUUGGUUGGUCGCCGGCUUCUUAGAGAGACUAUCAACUCAAGUUGAUGGAAGUUUGAGGCAAUAACAGGUCUGUGAUGCCCUUAGAUGUUCUGGGCCGCACGCGCGCUACACUGACAGAGCCAACGAGUUCUUUUCCUUGUUCGAAAGAAUUGGGUAAUCUUGUUAAACUCUGUCGUGCUGGGGAUAAAGCAUUGCAAUUAUUGCUUUUCAACGAGGAAUGCCUAGUAAGCGCGUGUCAUCAGCAUGCGUUGAUUACGUCCCUGACCUUUGUACACACCGCCCGUCGCUACUACCGAUUGAAUG
rnacentral:rRNA from 1 species